rnacentral:tRNA from 1 species
GGGGCCGUAGUCUAGUUAUCUAGGAAUUCUUUCUAGUUAGGAAAACUUGGUCCAAGAUGCCAGAAUAUGUAAAUAUAGCUAACCUGGGGACCUUGUCAGAAUGCUGGUGAUCGCGUGUUCAAAUCACGCCGGCCCCA